CCGCUCUUGAUUUGCUUCAUUUAACGUGAUGGUUUUUCGCCUUUUACUAAAGACCACCGUGUUGCAAAUCAAUUAAGGGAGCUUUUAUGGAAAUUUUUGUACGGUCCGAACAUAUGUUUGGACU